UUCUGAUUAUUUAAAAAUAUAACUCAAGCAUCUAGCUUCAAAUAUUUGGCAUAUUUUAUGGUGGCUCUCACACUAUAUUUCCAGGUACUAUAAAAUUGGACUUCUAAUAGACUGAUGGAGGCUAUUGAUCUGUUGUAAGUUUGGAAAAAAAAAAAUUCUGACGGCUCAUCGGUAUUCAUAGCUCACCUACAUUUUGACCACAUGCAUCAAAAAGGUGUUGGGUGAUUUGUCAGCUUGUUACUUUAUUGUGAUGAUGGGCCUCAUCCAUGAACAGGGCAUUUGGACUUUGGAGAUUGUGAUCAAUAAUUUCAAUUUCUUGCCUCACUAUGCAUUUUGGCAGCAGGUCAUAAUGAUGUUACCAAUGGCACACAAUAUUUAAAUAUGUAUGUACUAUACCUUACACACGGAUCAGAGUUAGAGCUGAUAAGAAGGUUCAGAGGAUUGAGAAGAUGGGAAAAAAAGCAGCAGAGUAAAUCAACAAAGUCAGGCUUGUGGCUGCAACUUUGGUCAUAUUGAGAUCACAAAAGUUUGGUUCGUGCUGUGGCAUGUAUUGCCAAAGAAUAUUGCUAUCACGAGGCUCAGAUAAAAAAAUGAAGACUGCUUCUGGGUGCCUGGGAAUUUUUCAUGUGUGGUAGUAGAGAUGGCAAUACCAGCUAGUGCAAUGGUGCCAAACUAAGUCCAAAGUAAUCCUGAAGAAGGCAGUGUUGAGGCAACCAGGGUCCAGGACAUCCACAGAUUGAUGUUGUUUAAGUAGAUGGUGGUAACAUUGUUCAGGGCUAGUGAAGUCGGACAGCAUUCCAUGGAAAACAAUAAUUAUAUGUUGGUCUGGGUGAUGAGCACUUAUGGCAAGAAGCGGACGAAUCAGAUGGCGAUCUUUGUGAUUCAGUGUCGCACGGCCUUUAUAGCAGUUAUUCUGAUGAUCAAAUUUCAGAUUUUCAGGGAGAAACGUAUGUGGUGGUAGCUUGCUAAUUCAUGGGAAAUGGGAAGACAUAUGAAAAAAUGGAGGAUUUCAAACACAAUAUUUUGAGAUGAAAUCCAGCAAAGGUUGCUAAGUUGCAGCUUGGUCUUGUAGAUGGCCAUCAAUUUUUUGAAAGGCUUGUUGUUUCAUUUGGUGCUUGUAGUCCAGGAUUCCUGGCUAGAGGCCUUACCCAGGCCUCGAUGAGAUGAUUGUCAUUUGCAAGGAGAUUAGAGGGCACAAUGGUGGCUGCAAUGGUAUUGAAUGGAAACAAUGGCACGUUUCCAGUUGCCUUUGGUAUAAUGGAGCUAGAAAUUGCUGAAAGCUGGUAGUGGUUCCUGGAAGCUCUUGAGGAGGCAAACAGUAUGCCAAAGAGUUUACUGCUGGCAUCUAGUAGGCAAGGGAUUGGAAGAAGCAAUGCCUGUAGGCUGACAAGACAGCACAGGAGCUGCAUGCAGCAUGCAUAUAAGAACUUCAAGAGUUAGUUCCCUCAUAAGUGGUUUGAGCUGUGGUUGGUGCUGCUGCAAGGAGUUUGAUGUGCAUGUGAAAAUGUCUGAUGGAGUCACAUAAUUUAUAACUGCUACAGGUGUUGGAUUGUGGAGCAGAUGACAAUUGACAGCUAAGUGCCAUAAACAAACAACUUGGCUGAGUCAGGUAAUGCAUGGAUUUCUGAGGCUAGAGAUAAGAGUACUCCUUGAUAUGUUAGAUGCUGAGGCAAAAAAAUUAUGGUGGAGAUGGAAGCUCAAAGAAGAAUGUCUGCCAGUUGAAGGGUGUUUUAGUUCUUGUGGUUCAAAAUAAAAUUUUAAAUCCCGUGGGACAAAAAUGUCCGAGUUUCUCCAUGGAAUGGGUGGCCUUGUUAUCCCGUCCCAUCCUGACAAUCAUCCCGGUCAUGUAUCUUGAUGGAUAUCCUCCAUCUUUCUCCCCUUCUUCUUUCCUUUCUUUCUUUUUUUCUUUCUUCCUUUUCUUUCUUUUUCUUUACCUUUCUUUCUUUCCUUUCUUUUUC